rnacentral:rRNA from 1 species
CCGCGGGAUUAGAGUUUGAUCCUGGCUCAGGACGAACGCUGGCGGCUGUGCUUAACACAUGCAAGUGGAGCGACGAACCAGGCUUCGGCCUGGGGCAGAGCCGCGAACGGGUGAGUAACACGUGGGUAACGUGCCCCGAUGACUGGGACAACCCGAGGAAACUCGGGCUAAUACCGGAUAUGCCCCCUCACGAGAGUGAGGUGUGUAAAGGAAGCUUCGGCCUCCGCAUCGGGAUCGGCCCGCGGCGCAUUAGCUUGUUGGUGGGGUAACGGCCUACCAAGGCGACGAUGCGUAGCUGGUCUGAGAGGACGAUCAGCCACACUGGGACUGAGACACGGCCCAGACUCCUACGGGAGGCAGCAGUGGGGAAUCUUGCGCAAUGCGCGAAAGCGUGACGCAGCAACGCCGCGUGGGGGAAGACGGCCUUCGGGUUGUAAACCCCUUUCAGUUGGGACGAACGUCGGGCGGUGAAUAGCCGUUCCGACUGACGGUACCUUCACAAGAAGCCCCGGCUAACUACGUGCCAGCAGCCACGGUAAUGCGUAGGGGGCAAGCGUUGUCCGGAAUCAUUGGGCGUAAAGAGCGUGUAGGCGGCCCGGUAAGUCCGCUGUGAAAGUCGGGGGCUCAACCCUCGAAUGCCGGCGGAUACUGUCGGGCUAGACUCCGGAAGAGGCGAGUGGAAUUCCUGGUGUAGCGGUGAAAUGCGCAGAUAUCACGAGGAACACCAACGGCGAAGGCAGCUCGCUGGGACGGAACUGACGCUG